GGCGCCAUGGCUUAGUUGGUAAAGCGCCUGUCUAGUAAACACGAGACCCUGGGUUCAAAUCCCAGUGGUGCGUCA
rnacentral:tRNA from 1 species